rnacentral:rRNA from 1 species
CUACGUGCCAGCAGCCGCGGUAAUACGUAUGUCACAAGCGUUAUCCGGAUUUAUUGGGCGUAAAGCGCGUCUAGGUGGUUAUGUAAGUCUGAUGUGAAAAUGCAGGGCUCAACUCUGUAUUGCGUUGGAAACUGCAUGACUAGAGUACUGGAGAGGUAAGCGGAACUACAAGUGUAGAGGUGAAAUUCGUAGAUAUUUGUAGGAAUGCCGAUGGGGAAGCCAGCUUACUGGACAGAUACUGACGCUAAAGCGCGAAAGCGUGGGUAGCAAACAGGAUUAGAUACCCUGGUAGUCCACGCCGUAAACGAUGAGUGCUAGGUGUUAGACCCUUUCCGGGGUUUAGUGCCGUAGCUAACGCAUUAAGCACUCCGCCUGGGGAGUACGACCGCAAGGUUGAAACUCAAAGGAAUUGACGGGGGCCCGCACAAGCGGUGGAGCAUGUGGUUUAAUUCGAAGCAACGCGAAGAACCUUACCAGGUCUUGACAUCCCUCUGACCGCUCUAGAGAUAGAGUUUUC